CCCCAGAAGGUUUGGGAGUAGGCCGCGCCCGAGCGCUGUGACAGAUCUGGCCUCUGCCAGAGCGGCUGGUGUUGGACCCUCUUCUGGAUGCCGGAGAACUACUUGAACAAGGACACAAUGAUAGCCUUCGUAGCAGAAAACUGGAAACAACCUGAAGGGUUGCAAAACUGUGAAGUCAUUGGGGACCUGGACCUUCCGACAAAAGUCUUGUUCAAGGUCAGCUUUGCACUGGAGUUCUGUGUAUCCCUUUCCAGACUGUGAGCCAAGCACAAGCUGUGUCACAUAAAAUUAAU